rnacentral:rRNA from 1 species
AUGUCAUCUCUCUUUAUGCUAGUCUCGUGGAAAAUUUGGAACGAGAGGAAUAUGGGAGUCUUUAGAUGUGUUUCAACAAUGCCGACCGUAAUCUCCAAGAUAAUUAAGGCUGAGGCCAAUCUUUGGGCUCCUGUGGGCGCUAGGCAUUUCUGCGACACUUUCGGUCGCUUGUAA